GCUGGGCAUGGUGGUGUGUGCCUGUGGUCCCAGCUACUUGGGAGGCUGAGGCAGGAGGAUCACUUGAGCCCAGGCGUUCAAGGAGGCAGUGAGGUAUAGUCAUGCCACUGCACUCCAGUCUGAGCAACAGAGUGAGAUCCUGUCUCUA
ensembl:misc_RNA Metazoa_SRP Metazoan signal recognition particle RNA